GGGGUUGGAAUAUUUGGCCUAGCAUGCUCUAACGCCUGUUUAUAAGCAUUAUAAACAGUUUGAGCAUUCACUUUAAUUGAUGCUUGCGCAUCAGAUAGUAUAGCCAUUUCUUCUUCAUCAAGAUCUAAAGCUUGAUAAAUACUUGAAUACCAAAAGUGAGGUUCUCCUAAUUUCAUAGUAGGAUUUAGCAUAGCAGACACACCAUAUAUCUAUUCUAUCACCGACUGCUACAUCAUGUAGAAAAUCAACAUCGCUAAAUUGAAAACACGGGUGAUUACUAUCAAGUAUACCGAAGUUUUCAUUAGUAUUUCUAGGUUGUCUACUAGUUUCAACUUGUUUAUCUUUUCUAGGUCGGAGAGCCGAGGGAGGGGUAGUAUUUUGGCGACUACUUUCACCGGUUUUAUUUUUUCCUUUUUCGAACAUAUUUUUCAAUGAAAAUGCCAUAUUAAUUAUAAUUAAGCAAAAUAACAACACACAAAAAUAUUCUAAUCACNNN
rnacentral:lncRNA from 1 species